CACGUAGGGGGCAAGCGUUGUCCGGCAUUAUUGGGCGUAAAGAGCUCGUAGGCGGCUCGGUAAGUCAGGUGUCAAAUCCUCAGGCUCAACCUGGGGCUCCACCUGAUACUGCUGUGGCUAGAGUCCGGUAGGGGAGCGUGGAAUUCCUGGUGUAGCGGUGAAAUGCGCAGAUAUCAGGAGGAACACCAGCGGCGAAGGCGGCGCUCUGGGCCGGAACUGACGCUGAGGAGCGAAAGCGUGGGUAGCAAACAGG
rnacentral:rRNA from 1 species